rnacentral:rRNA from 1 species
CUUUUGGCGAGUAGAGUGGCGCACGGGUUGAGUAACGCGUGGGUAAUCGUGCCUUCGAACCGGGGAUAACACUUCGAAAGGGGUGCAUAAUACCGCGAUGACAUCCACGUGUCUUCGGGCGUCUGGAUCAAAGAUGGCCUCUCCAUGGAAGCUGUUGUUCGAAGAUGAGCCCGCGUCCCAUUAGCUUGUUGGUGGGGUAAAGGCCCACCAAGGCGACGAUGGGUAGCUGGUCUGAGAGGAUGAUCAGCCACACUGGCACUGACACACGGGCCAGACUCCUACGGGAGGCAGCAGUGAGGAAUUUUGCGCAAUGGGGGUAACCCUGACGCAGCAACGCCGCGUGAGUGAAGAAGGCCUUCGGGUCGUAAAGCUCUGUCGAGUGGGAAGAACCCGCAUCAGGUGACCAGGCUGAUGCGCUGACGGUACCACUGGAGGAAGCACCGGCUAACUCCGUGCCAGCAGCCGCGGUAAUACGGAGGGUGCAAGCGUUAUUCGGAAUUACUGGGCGUAAAGGGCGCGCAGGCGGCCUGGUAAGUCAGUAGUGAAAGCCCGGGGCUCAACCCCGGAAGUGCUGCUGAAACUGUUGGGCUUGAGUAUGGCAGAGGGAAGCGGAAUUCCUGGUGUAGCGGUGAAAUGCGUAGAUAUCAGGAGGAACGCCGGUGGCGAAGGCGGCUUCCUGGACCAAUACUGACGCUGAGGCGCGAAGGCGUGGGUAGCAAACAGGAUUAGAUACCCUGGUAGUCCACGCAGUAAACGGUGAUCACUAGGUGUUCCGGGUAUUGAUACUUGCAGUGCCGGAGCUAACGCAUUAAGUGAUCCGCCUGGGGAGUACGGCCGCAAGGUUAAAACUCAAAGGAAUUGACGGGGGCCCGCACAAGCGGUGGAGCAUGUGGUUUAAUUGGACGCAACGCGAAGAACCUUACCUGGGUUUGACAUCUGGGGGAUCCCAUGGAAACAUGGGGGUGCCCUUCGGGGAGCCCCAAGACAGGUGCUGCAUGGCAGUCGUCAGCUCGUGUCGUGAGAUGUUGGGUUAAGUCCCGCAACGAGCGCAACCCCUGUCUUCAGUUACCAGCGAUUCGAUCGGGGACUCUGAAGAUACUGCCCCGGUUAACGGGGAGGAAGGUGGGGAUGACGUCAAGUCCUCAUGGCCUUUAUGCCCAGGGCUACACACGUGCUACAAUGGGCGGUACAGAGGGUAGCGAGACCGCGAGGUGGAGCCAAUCCCAAAAAGCCGUCCUCAGUUCGGACUGGAGUCUGCAACUCGACUCCAUGAAGUUGGAAUCGCUAGUAAUCGCGGAUCAGCAUGCCGCGGUGAUACGUUCCCGGGCAUUGUACACACCGCCCGUCACACCAUGAGAGUUGGCUAUACCCGAAGUCGCCGGC